rnacentral:rRNA from 1 species
UACAGAGGGGGCAAGCGUUGUUCGGAAUUACUGGGCGUAAAGGGCGCGUAGGCGGCCUGCUAAGUCGAACGUGAAAUCCCUGGGCUCAACCCAGGAACUGCGUCCGAUACUGGUUGGCUUGAAUCCGGGAGAGGGAUGUGGAAUUCCAGGUGUAGCGGUGAAAUGCGUAGAUAUCUGGAGGAACACCGGUGGCGAAGGCGGCGACCUGGGCCUUUUACUGACGCUGAGGCGCGAAAGCGUGGGGAGCAAACAGG